UUUUAUGAAUGAGCAAAGAAAGUGGCUUAUUAAGAUGGAAUCUACUUCCAGUGAAGAUGCUAUGAA
rnacentral:pre_miRNA from 1 species